UCAAACUUGGUCAUUUAGAGGAAGUAAAAGUCGUAACAAGGUCUCCGUUGGUGAACCAGCGGAGGGAUCAUUACUGAGUUUACGCUCUUAACCCUUUGUGAACAUACCUCUGUAUCUCGUUGCUUCGGCGGGUAGGCACGCAAGUGCCCCCGGGCCCCUCACGGGGCUGCCCGCCGGGGGUCGAAAACCAUUUUUUGUUUCUCAUUACGUUUCUUCUGAUUUGGCAUAAGCAAUAAAUUAAAACUUUCAACAACGGAUCUCUUGGUUCUGGCAUCGAUGAAGAACGCAGC
rnacentral:misc_RNA from 1 species